ACACAUUUUGCAGCCUCCUGGGUCUGAGCAGUUACCAGCCAGUCGCUUGAGAACCUUCUGCUCCAGCUCCAGGAAAAAUGAGAUUUUUGCUCCUUUUAAGUUUCGUGGUAGCAGCUUUAGAAGGUGCCCAGUCCCAGGUCCAGCUGGUGGAGUCCGGAGGGGGUGUGAAAAACCCCGGAGAGUCUCUCCGCCUCUCCUGCAAAGCCUUCGGGUUCUCCUUCAGUGAUUCCUACAUGAGCUGGCUCCGACUGGCUCCAGGAAAGGGACUAGAAUGGGUCAGUUAUAUAAACCCCAAUGGGAGCGAGACGCGCUACCGUGAUUCAGUGAAAGGCCGAUACACCAUCUCCAGGGAUAAUUACAUCAAUGAGCUGUAUCUGCAAAUGUCCAACCUGAAACCCGAGGACUCCGCCAUCUAUUACUGUGAGAAAGAUACAGGGAAACCCCCUUCUCCCAGCAGCCGCGUGGGGGCAGCAGUGACAGUCACCUCGCUUCGGGCUUAGACAGGACACCCUACCGUUUGUGUUACGUUCACCCUAUGGUUACUCACAUCUUGUCAACUAUUUGAAAUGGGCCAUCCUGAUGAUCACUACAAAAGUUUUUUUUUCUCCUGCUGAUAAUAGUUCACCUUAAUUGAUUUGUCCCGUUAGAGUUGGUAAGGCAACCCCCAUCUUUUCUUGUUCUCUGCAUAUAUAUCUCUCCCUACGUAUUUUCCACUGCAUGCAUCUGAUCAAGUGGGUUUUAGCCCACGAAAGCUUAUGCCCCAUUAAA